AAAUUUUCUUUAUGGCCAAUUGCUAGAGAAUAAGAUGGUUGUGGAUGACUAAUACAGAGGAACUGCAAAUGGAAGAAGUCAUACGGGAGAGGAGGAGACGGAGCAUAAGUCAGGAGCUUGCACUCUCUUGCCUUUCUGCCUUGCACCAUGGGAGGACACAGCAAGAAGCUCUCACCGGAUGCUAGACCCUCAACCUUGGACUUCUCAGCCUCCAGAACCACGAGAAAUAAAUUUCUGUUUAUUGUAAAUUGCCCAGUCUCAAAUAUUAUGUGACAGCUGCACUAAACAGACUAAGAUGCUCCCUUAACAUAAACCACAGGGUUCCUAUGGAAAACAGGCAACAUGGAAUGUUUCAGGCAUUGUAAUCAUUGAAGGAAAGGAGAAACAAAAGGAGAGAUUGUGCUGAAGUGAACAGAGCACAGACUGUGACGGGAAUCUCACAAUCUUACCAACUUUGAGAUCAGGUAAGCGUCUUGUCUGGAGAUCAGAUAAGGGUCUUGAGAUCAGGAAAGGGUCUUGUAAAGAGCUUCUCUAUGGUAUAUUUCAAAUCUGAAAUUUUGGAUUCAGGUGAAAUAGUUAAAGAUCUGAGUUCUAAUCCACUGUGUCACUUUGAUUAUGUAGUGUACAAUGCCUUAAAUGCAUAUUUUCUUACUUAGUGUAACAGAAACACCAUAAGAGAGAUGUCUUUGAUAAUCUCCAGUAUGGAGGCACAUAAUUGAAAGUUCCAAAAGGUUGAAUAACUUAUGAAUAGUGAACAGCAAGUUAGAGUUUGAAUGCAUUUCUUUGGAAUUCAGAGCCUGUGUUUUUAUACUGUCACACUACCUCUUAUAUAUGCUUAUUCACUGAAUGUAAGUUGUAUUAUUUUCCCCACUGAUAUCUAUUCAGGCUUGCAUAAAAAGUUUCUCUUUUAUAAUUAGGGAAGCUAAAUAAACUCUAUAAAUUUAACAAAGAUUUUCUGAAUGAUAAUAUGGUGGGCACUGUACAUUGUAUUGGAGUACGACAGUAAACAAAAAAAAAUAUGGUACCCAAGUUUAUGGUUGAGAGGGAGACCCAUUAUUUUAAAGAAGUGUAAAAAUCUGUCCAAUUAAUGCUUCCCUAUCUUUUCAUUGUAAAUUAUCAGAAUUUAACUUUCACCAUUUGCCAAGCUAUUGUGCUGGAUGCUUUUAUACAUUAUUUCAUCUAAUCUAGGAAUCAAUUUUGUUUUUAUUUUACAAAAGAGGAAACGUGCCUAACUACUAUAUGCUUGUAUCAAUUUAUUCUCCCUCCAGCAUUGAAUAAAAAUGACUAAUUUUAUUGUAUCUUCUUCAGUAUUCAUUACUUUCCUU
rnacentral:lncRNA from 10 species